rnacentral:rRNA from 1 species
CAGUAGCCGCGGUAAUACGUAGGUGGCAAGCGCUGUCCGGAAUUAUUGGGCGUAAAGGGCUCGCAGGCGGUUUCUUAAGUCUGUUGUGAAAGCCCCCGGCUCAACCGGGGAGGGUUAUUGGAAACUGGGAAACUUGAGUGCAGAAGAGGAGAGUGGAAUUCCACGUGUAGCGAUGAAAUGCGUAGAGAUGUGGAGGAACACCAGUGGCGAAGGCGACUCUCUGGUCUGUAACUGACGCUGAGGAGCGAAAGCGUGGGGAGCGAACAGGAUUAGAUACCCGGGUAGUCCCUGUCUCUUAUAA